rnacentral:rRNA from 1 species
AUUGAACGCUGGCGGCAUGCUUACACAUGCCAGUCGAACGGCAGCGGGGAGGAGCUUGCUUCUCUGCCGGCGAGUGGCGAACGGGUGAGUAAUACAUCGGAACGUGUCGAGAAGAGGGGGAUAACCACCCGAAAGGGUGGCUAAUACCGCAUAAAUUCUGAGGAAGAAAGCUGGGGACCUGGGAAUAGGCCUAGCGCUUUUUGAGCGGCCGAUGUCGGAUUAGCUAGUUGGUGAGGUAAAGGCUCACCAAGGCGAAGAUCUGUAGCGGGUCUGAGAGGAUGAUCCGCCACACUGGGACUGAGACACGGCCCAGACUCCUACGGGAGGCAGCAGUGGGGAAUUUUGGACAAUGGGGGCAACCCUGAUCCAGCCAUGCCGCGUGUAUGAAGAAGGCCUUAGGGUUGUAAAGUACUUUUGUUAGGGAAGAAAAGUCAGCUGUGAAUAAUGGCUGAUACUGACGGUACCUAAAGAAUAAGCACCGGCUAACUACGUG